rnacentral:rRNA from 1 species
GAUGAACGCUAGCUACAGGCUUAACACAUGCAAGUCGAGGGGUAACGAGAGGGAAGCUUGCUUUCCUUGUCGACGACCGGCGCACGGGUGAGUAACGCGUAUCCAACCUGCCCCCAACUAGGGAAUAACCUUGCGAAAGUAAGACUAAUACCCUAUAAUUUCCUCAGAUGUCAUCUGACGAGGAAUAAAGAUUUAUCGGUUGUGGAUGGGGAUGCGUCUGAUUAGCUUGUUGGCGGGGUAACGGCCCACCAAGGCAACGAUCAGCAGGGGUUCUGAGAGGAAGGUCCCCCACAUUGGAACUGAGACACGGUCCAAACUCCUACGGGAGGCAGCAGUGAGGAAGAUUGGUCAAUGGGCGGAAGCCUGAACCAGCCAAGUAGCGUGCAGGAUGACGGCCCUAUGGGUUGUAAACUGCUUUUAUACAGGAAUAAAGUUAGCCACGUGUGGUUAUUUGUAGGUACUGUAUGAAUAAGGACCGGCUAAUUCCGUGCCAGCCGCCGCAGUAA